rnacentral:rRNA from 1 species
UACGUAGGGGGCAAGCGUUGUCCGGAAUCAUUGGGCGUAAAGCGCGUGUAGGCGGUCCGGUAAGUCCGCUGUGAAAGUCGGGGGCUUAACCCUCGGAUGCCGGUGGAUACUGUCGGGCUUGAGUACGGAAGAGGCGAGUGGAAUUCCUGGUGUAGCGGUGAAAUGCGCAGAUAUCAGGAGGAACACCCAAUUGCGAAGGCAGCUCGCUGGGACGUUAACUGACGCUGAGACGCGAAAGCGUGGGGAGCAAACAGG